GCCCUGUUAGCUCAGUUGGUUAGAGCGUCCGCCUAGUAAGCGGAAGGUCCCCAGUUCAACUCUGGGUCAGGGCA